UACGGAAGGCAGCAGUGGGGAAUAUUGCACAAUGGGCGCAAGCCUGAUGCAGCCAUGCCGCGUGUAUGAAGAAGGCCUUCGGGUUGUAAAGUACUUUCAGUCGUGAGGAAGGUGUUAAGGUUAAUAACCUUAGCAAUUGACGUUAGCGACAGAAGAAGCACCGGCUAACUCCGUGCCAGCAGCCGCGGUAAUACGGAGGGUGCGAGCGUUAAUCGGAAUUACUGGGCGUAAAGGGCACGCAGGCGGUUAAUUAAGUUGGAUGUGAAAUCCCCGGGCUUAACCUGGGAAUGGCAUUCAAGACUGGUUAGCUAGAGUCUUGUAGAGGGGGUAGAAUUCCAUGUGUAGCGGUGAAAUGCGUAGAGAUGUGGAGGAAUCCGGUGGCGAAGGCGGCCCCUGGACAAAGGCUGACGCUCAUGUGCGAAAGCGUGGGGAGCAAACGAGGGAUUAGAUACC
rnacentral:rRNA from 1 species